rnacentral:rRNA from 1 species
CUUGGCUUUUGCGCACAUUUUACUGCCAUUGGGACAAUUUUGCCCAUUAUCACUAAUUUUGAACGCACGUUGCGCCUUGUUAGGCGUCGCAGUUGCCAGCGGCGUCAACGUCGACGGCUGCGUUAGCGUCG